rnacentral:rRNA from 1 species
UACAGGGGGUGCAAACGUUGCUCGGAAUCAUUGGGCGUAAAGCGCACGUAGGCGGUUCGUUAUGUCGGAUGUGAAAGCCCUUGGCUUAACCGAGGAAGUGCAUCCGAAACUGGCGAGCUAGAGUACGAAAGAGGAUCGCGGAAUUCCCGGUGUAGAGGUGAAAUUCGUAGAUAUCGGGAGGAACACCAGUGGCGAAGGCGACGAUCUGGGUCGAUACUGACGCUGAGGUGCGAAAGCGUGGGGAGCAAACAGG